AAGACAGAGGAUGAGAACGCAAAACAGAGGGAGGGGAUGAGAGGGAGGACGAACAUUUCAUGGGACUUAGAGGGGGAAAUAGAGUGUGGGAGACGAAAACAGAGGGAAGGCUACAUGGGGAAAGAUUAGACGAGUUUGUCCUCCUAAGGCAGAGUUGAGGGAUGGGGACCUGCUUUAGCUGUGACCCGGCUAGAGACUCGGGUCCCGAACUGGUUCCCGUCAAGCGUCAUGUCACCCGGCCGAGACGAACCAAGGCUAUCGCUAGCGUAGAUCGAUGGGAUCUGAUAUGCAACACCAGCCAUAACCAGAGGACCACGACGUUCCGGCACCCCGUGACGGGACAGAUGUCUCAGGAGAACGUUGGUUUUAUCCUCCAAGAAAUGCCCGGCGGCCGCAUGUCAAACCCCCAGCAAGCCGACUUGAGGCCCUCCAGCACCAUCAGCGAGGCUUCCACCGCCGUCACCACCUCCACCGUGGACACCACCUCGGGGUCAAAGGGAUCCAGGUCCAGUGGGAGGGUGCACAGUUUUGGGAAGCGAGAGCAGUCCAUCAAGAGGAACCCCAAUGUCCCCGUGGUGGUAAGAGGAUGGCUCUACAAACAGGAUGGCUCUGGAAUGAGGCUUUGGAAGAGGAAGUGGUUUGUGCUGGCUGACUACUGUCUGUUCUACUAUAAAGACAGCAGGGAGGAGUCAGUCCUGGGUAGUAUUCCUCUGCCCAGCUAUGUCGUCUCAGCCGUGGAGCCUGAGGACCACAUCAGCCGCAAGUACGCCUUCAAGGCUAACCACACGGGCAUGCGCUCGUACAUUUACAACCGGAGCACUGUGAUUGACUCGCAGGCGGAGCACGGCGGCAUGCGGACGUACUUCUUCAGCGCCGACACGCAGGAGGACGUGAACGGCUGGGUGAAGGCCAUGAACCAGGCGGCGCUGAUGCAGAACCAAACCGACAGCCUCAAGAGGCCGUCGGAAACAUCGGAGAUGCCCAACACGUCGGAACGCAAGGGGGUCCCCCAAACCAACCACGUCAACAACUACACAAAGACCUCACGCGAACCCCGAGCCGACCUCCAUCUCCAUAGCGAUGGAGUGGUCCUCGAACCUGCCGAUAUCCGAGAAACCGAGGAGCGCCGUAGCUUCCGGAAUGACACACUCAAUCCCAUCACUUCCAAGAUUCCUUCCCUCGGCGGCGGAAGCGUGGAAAUUGAAAUGGACGCCGUCCCUCCUAACAGUCUCCCUCCGCUUCCCUCCCUAACUCCUGACUCCGCCUCCGCACCCACAUCCGCGCCCCCCUCCAGGGCGCCGUCACGUGCCCCGUCGCGCGGCGCCUUCACCCUGCCCCCCGGGGCCUGUCUGAGGAACGGGACACCCACUCCGGAACCCAACGGGAUGGGGACGGGGACGUACCAGAGGUCCACGCUGACCCCCCAGGUGGUUGACACUCAAAGGCAGGUGCAGAGGAGGAGCGCCCUGGAGCAGGUGGAGCACUGGGUCAAGGUGCAGAAGGCCGAGCACAAAGGCCCCCCCUCAAGAGGGGGCACCCUCCCCCGUCACAGCCCCCCGACCGCCGCGCGCCAAGGGGAGUACAAAUACGCACAGGACCGCCUCAGCCACUUCCGACUCGGACCCUCAGACCCCCAGGGUACCGGCACCAGGGACGGGGGUGGCAUCGGUGGGCCUGGCACCGUGUGGCAGCUCUACGAGUGGCAGCAGCGCCACCAGUUCCGCCACGGCAGUCCCACUGCCCCCCUCUACACACCUGCCCCGGACUACCCCUUCGGGCCCAGGCCCCCCUCCACGGUGCCCCCCUCGGCCCCGCGACCCAGUUCUGAGGUUCCCCGCUGUGUGUCGGUGCCCCCAGACCCCUCCGAUAUCCUCCCACCGGGCCCCCAGAGCUCCAGGGCCCUGUCCCCGCCACGGAGGCCCCACACACCCGCUAACCGGGUGGUGGUAAUGCCCCAGGAGGGGAGAGAUGCACUGGACAUGCCGGUGGCUGGGUCCCCACGAAGAGCCAAGUCUCAACUACUAAAGGCUGCCACCAUCGAGAGACGGUCCAUGCCUCCCUCCAACUACAUCACACACACGGUCAGCGCGCCCAGCCUUCACGGGAAAACGCCUGAGGAGCUCACCCUCCUGCUCAUUCAGCUCCGGAGGCAUCAGGCAAAGAUGGCCGCCGCUCGCCACCACACGCUAACCCAGCUGCAGCACUUCAACUACAGCCCUUCUGGCCCCCACUUCCUCACCACCAAAACCAACCCUCUCUUCUCCUCCGGCCCUUCUUAUCUGGGGCCCUUCCUAGGCCCCAUGGGCCACGGCAGCAGCAGCCAGGUUGACGAUACGUACAUGCAACUGAAGAAAGACCUGGAGUAUCUAGACUUGAAGGUGGUUGGAAGUCAGACGUUGAAAGAAGCAACGAGACCCGUCAGAGUAGCCGAGAGUGACGUGGAUGUGAAACUCAGUCGGUUAUGUGAGCAGGACAAGACCCUGAAGGAACUGGAGGUCCGGAUCUGCUCACUAAAGGAGGAUAAGGACAAGCUGGAGUCGGUGCUGGACGUGUCCCACCAACAGAUGGAGCUGUACAGAGACCAGGCAGCCCACCUGGAGAAGAUAGCCUACCAGCAGAGACUCCUACAGGAGGACGUGGUGCACAUCAGGGCCGAGAUCUCCAGCGCGUCCACGGAGAUGGCCCGGGCCUGGGAGGACUACAGCAGGCUGGAGAGCUCUGUGGAGCAGUUGAGGGCCGUGCUAGAGGCACACAUGAACCACAGCGCCACCCCUCAGCAGGAGAAAACAGAGAUAAAGCGGGAGCUGUGGAGGAUAGAGGACGUGAUGGCAGGACUGAGCUCCAGCAAAGCCAACUACAAGAUCACAAUCGACUCAGUGCAGAACCCAGAGAGGAAACUAGUGGCUUCAGUGCCAGACCCUGCAGUGCCUUCGCAGAGCACGACGCCCCCCGUAGGGGAGGUUAGGCCCCCUCCUCGCAGCUCCUACACGCUGCCUCACAACCCCGUGCCAAAAUGGGCAGAAGAUGAGGCUCCUCCCAGACCACCCCUGCCCUGCCUCUACGAUUAUGAAGACCCGCCCCCCGCCAUCCCACCCCUCCCCAAAGAGGCGUCGGUGGUAGUACGACACACGUCGGUUCGCGGGCUCAAACGCCAGUCGGACGAGAGGAAGAGGGACCGAGAGAGCGGAGGGUGUGUCAACGGAGACUUUAAAGUGGAGCUGCGGUCAUACCUGAGUGAACCAGAACUGCCAGGGACGGGCCAGAGCAGCACAGGGUCUGAGGGGGGCUACCAAACCCUCCCAAACAAAGGUCUGUCGGGCUCAUCGCCGAGGCUGAACCAGUCCAGUAACAUCUCCUCCUACGUGACCCUGAGGAGGGGGGCGGCCGCCUCUGCAGAGAGGGAGAGACCUAAGAGUGCUUUGGAGCAGCUGUACUCCUCUGGCCAGCAGCCCCAGCCUCUGGCCCAGGCCCCCCGGGGCCGCAUGAGCGCAGAGGAGCAGCUGGAGCGCAUGAAGAGGCACCAGAGGGCCCUGGUGCGCGAGCGCAAGAGGAACCUCAGCCAGGGAGAACGCCACUCCAACACUGCUCAUCGUACCUCCUCCUCCACCAGGGCUCUCUCCUCCACUGACUUGGGCUCAGUACGUUACCCCCGCAGCAGAAGCAGGGACCACUGCCACUGUCGCGCCCCCGCCGAACCCCCCACAUAGGCGCGCCGCAAUUGCUAACAUGCUAACAUCCCCUACUCACCCUCUCCCCCAUGUGUAACCAAUGGCACUAACAUGAGUAAGCGUUAGCAUCGUGCUAGCACGCGAAGGGCCGGUGGGACUGGAUGGGACAAAGCCGUGGCUGGCUGGGCUUAUAGAGCGGUUGGACUGUGCGUGGUGGAGGCUGCUUGGGAGAGUAGGGGAAGGGAUAUCUGUCGAAGAUGGGGACUGUAAAGACAGAGCUGUUUCCCAUAUUAAGGUGUAUGUAUGGGUUGCGUUUACCCCGAUCACUGGUGCCCCCGUGCGGUACCUCACUGACACACACUGAAUGUAUUUCAAGGAGAAGAAGAGGGGGAUUGGCUACAGGCAUAGCUCUGCCUUCCCGCUCUGUCACGAGAAAAGAAAAGCCCAUUCUAUGUACAUUUACACUUAUGUACAUUAGUAUUUAUUUACUGAAGGAUAUUUUCAGUAGCCUAUACAUUUGUAAAAUUAUAUUUUAUAGAGAUUUGAUAAAAUUAGGGAUGAGGAAAUGUGUAUCAUUAUUUGAACAAAUCAACUUGGUGGGAAGUGGCACAAAUCAUUAUCAAACCGCCCUCCUCCCUCCAUCUUUCAAAUGAUAUGAAUCGAAUGAAAUCAAAGUGCCUUUAGUUCCCGGUGAAUAAUCAUUCCUCUUCUCACAAGAUUCACCUUCAGCCUCACCUUUUUCCACCCUGUUUGUCUUAUGGCGUUGCUAUGGCUACCACAGAAUCCCAUUCAAAUGAGCCUUCAGAUAGUUGUCUGUUUGAAGUUUGUUGUGCGUGCCAACGUAGGAGAGUCAACCUUACGAAGACUAAUUUAACCAUCUAAUAUAUUAUCUAACACACAAUCUUCACCAGAUUGCUGUGAGAUCAUCAAUACCCUCAAACUCCUUGCUACAUUUGCCAUCAACCCAAAAGCUCCUACUAACAUUUGGCAACACAUAGUUCAACUCCUUUCAUUUUGUAACGCUUCACCAUAAUAGCCAAGAGAUUUUAGGAUCCCUCUUUUUUGGGGGGGCAUUUGAAUAAUUUCUUCCCCACCGUGACACACUAAACAGUCGCUUAUUCACAGCAUUUAGUUUUUAGUUUCUGCUACAUCGACAUUAUCACUUUUGUACUUAACCGUGGUUGAUCGCUACAAUGGCCUACUAUUCCGGUCAAGGUCAUAGUGAGUAUUAAGCCUAUCUGCUUCACUGCAAAUGAAAGGACAGGAGGGGGGGGGGGGGUAAAAUGGCUGCCGCCAGCUUACCGUCAAGGCAGGUUCCACCAUGUUGCUUUUCCCCGUCCCAAUUGAUUGAUUGAUUUUUUUUAGCAGUGAGGAUGUACAGAAAAUUGCACAGUCACUAGAGUCACUAGCGAAUGCUAAAUUAUACUGAGAGGCAACGCACAGCUCCUUCACGCCUGUUAUUUUCCAAUGUAGAGAUUUGCGCUCGAGAAUAAAAUCAUUUUGCUUCAAAAAACUAAAUAAAAUCACCUCUGGCUGUGUGUUUCCAUUUUUGCGGGGGUUUGAUGAAUAUGUAAUGCAUGUAUUUUCCCUGUGGGGGGGUCCUCUGUCCAGUGAGCACAAUAACGCAUGUGAUGCACUUUCUCCUCACAUCACGGGAGGCCUACACGCACUGGAGUGGCAAUGAUGCAUGCAUGGGUUUGAGGGCUAGGACACACACAUAACAACACACAUACAGUACAAACAGAGAUUUACUCACAACACAAAUGUGUUUAUGUAUGUGUUUGGAAAAGCAAAUGUGUGUGUGUGUGUGGUAACAGGUUAAUCAGUAUCCUUUUGGUGGUUGCUUCUUUAUGUUGCUGUCAUUAAUCUAAUAAUGAAAUCCUCUUUCUGGUGAUCCUGAAAACAAUUAAAUGCAAUGAAGUUGCUGGUGGUGGAAUGGAGACGCCGUAGGGACGUCCUGUGGUGACAAUGCAGAAGCCAAGAAAGACAAGAUUUCGGAUGCAUGGUCCUCACUCCUCAAGACUCCAUUUGUCCCCGCAACACAGAAGCUGUCCAUCCUCAUGGGACUAGGAUUUGUGCUGUGAAAUCAGCUCCAGAUACAAUAUACAUUACUUUACGGGGUUUUUUUUCCUCUGGGUUCUACACAGGGUGGUCCAAUCUGUGCUGGUGUUGUCUCCUAGUGUGAAAUAAUAAGUAAAAAAAAGACUUUUUAUUUUGCCUCUGAAAAUCAACCAGAUGAAGUAACUGUUGUGUUUGUCCCCCCCCAGUGGUCAGAUAGAGUAACUGUUGUGUUUGUCCCCCCCCAGUGGUCAGAUAGAGUAACUGUUGUGUUUGUCCCCCCCCAGUGGUCAGAUAGAGUAACUGUUGUGUUUGUCCCCCCCAGUGGUCAGAUAGAGUAACUGUUGUGUUUGUCCCCCCCAGUGGUCAGAUAGAGUAACUGUUGUGUUUGUCCCCCCCAGUGGUCAGAUAGAGUAACUGUUGUGUUUGUCCCCCCCCAGUGGUCAGAUAGAGUAACUGUUGUGUUUGUCCCCCCCCCAGUGGUCAGAUAGAGUAACUGUUGUGUUUGUCCCCCCCCAGUGGUCAGAUAGAGUAACUGUUGUGUUUGUCCCCCCCCAGUGGUCAGAUAGAGUAACUGUUGUGUUUGUCCCCCCCAGUGGUCAGAUAGAGUAACUGUUGUGUUUGUCCCCCCCAGUGGUCAGAUAGAGUAACUGUUGUGUUUGUCCCCCCCAGUGGUCAGAUAGAGUAACUGUUGUGUUUGUCCCCCCCAGUGGUCAGAUAGAGUAACUGUUGUGUUUGUCCCCCCCAGUGGUCAGAUAGAGUAACUGUUGUGUUUGUCCCCCCCAGUGGUCAGAUAGAGUAACUGUUGUGUUUGUCCCCCCCAGUGGUCAGAUAGAGUAACUGUUGUGUUUGUCCCCCCCCAGUGGUCAGAUAGAGUAACUGUUGUGUUUGUCCCCCCCCCCAGUGGUCAGAUAGAGUAACUGUUGUGUUUGUCCCCCCCCAGUGGUCAGAUAGAGUAACUGUUGUGUUUGUCCCCCCCCAGUGGUCAGAUAGAGUAACUGUUGUGUUUGUCCCCCCCAGUGGUCAGAUAGAGUAACUGUUGUGUUUGUCCCCCCCAGUGGUCAGAUAGAGUAACUGUUGUGUUUGUCCCCCCCAGUGGUCAGAUAGAGUAACUGUUGUGUUUGUCCCCCCCAGUGGUCAGAUAGAGUAACUGUUGUGUUUGUCCCCCCCAGUGGUCAGAUAGAGUAACUGUUGUGUUUGUCCCCCCCCAGUGGUCAGAUAGAGUAACUGUUGUGUUUGUCCCCCCCCAGUGGUCAGAUAGAGUAACUGUUGUGUUUGUCCCCCCCAGUGGUCAGAUGAAGUAACUGUUGUGUUUGUCCCCCUCCAGUGGUCAGAUAGAGUAACUGUUGUGUUUGUCCCCCUCCAGUGGUCAGAUAGAGUAACUGUUGUGUUUGUCCCCCCCAGUGGUCAGAUAGAGUAACUGUUGUGUUUGUCCCCCCCAGUGGUCAGAUAGAGUAACUGUUGUGUUUGUCCCCCCCAGUGGUCAGAUAGAGUAACUGUUGUGUUUGUCCCCCCCCAGUGGUCAGAUAGAGUAACUGUUGUGUUUGUCCCCCCCCAGUGGUCAGAUAGAGUAACUGUUGUGUUUGUCCCCCCCAGUGGUCAGAUGAAGUAACUGUUGUGUUUGUCCCCCCCCAGUGGUCAGAUAGAGUAACUGUUGUGUUUGUCCCCCCCAGUGGUCAGAUAGAGUAACUGUUGUGUUUGUCCCCCCCAGUGGUCAGAUAGAGUAACUGUUGUGUUUGUCCCCCCCCCCAGUGGUCAGAUAGAGUAACUGUUGUGUUUGUCCCCCUCCAGUGGUCAGAUGAAGUAACUGUUGUGUUUGUUCCCCCCAGUGGUCAGAUGAAGUAACUGUUGUGUUUGUCCCCCCCAGUGGUCAGAUGAAGUAACUGUUGUGUUUGUUCCCCCCAGUGGUCAGAUGAAGUAACUGUUGUGUUUGUCCCCCCCAGUGGUCAGAUGAAUUAACUGUUGUUUGUUCCCCCUCGUGGUCAGAUGAAGUAGAAGUCGGUCUCCCCCUAGUGGUCAGAUAAAGUAACCGUUGUUUGCCCCUCCACUAGUGGUCAGAUAAAGUAAUGGUUGUGUCUGUCUCCCCCUAGUGGUCAGAUAUAGUAAUUGUUGUGUCUGUCUCCCCCUAGUGGAGGCGAGAGCAGCAGGACUUUGAUUUGCAGCUGGUGCAGAAAGCUCAGGUGGAAGAGCGACAGGUUGCCGAGGGCCAGAGCGACGAGGGGCGGAGCGAGCUGAAGGAAAGGGAGAGGAUCCAAUCAGACGAUUGGCUCUUGGUCAUGGCCAUGCCCACGAUUGCCACACCCAUGAGGGAGACGGACAUGGAGCCCCUCGACUAUGACCUGGAUCUCAGUCGUGAGCUUUCCAAGCCCCAAAAGGUGUCUAUCCCAGAGCGCUAUGUGGAGUCGGACCCCGAGGAGCCUCUGAGUCAGGAGGAGAUGGAGGAUCGUCAACGCAGAGCAGAACGCAUCAAAAACAUCCUGGCCAAAUCCAAUUUUCACAACAUACACCCGUCGUCUGUCCCACUGAACUUCACUGAUUUGGACAUUGCCAUGCAACAGCAGGAGAGGAUCAUGACUGUGUCCCACGCCUUGGCCUCGGAAGCCUCCGUUAAGAGCAAGCAGUUCACAGCCAAAGCUCAGCUGAGCUCUGACUGACCGUUGACUCAGACGCCAAGGCACCAACAGGACCUCCAAGGCACCAACUGGACCUCCGUGUGGAUGAAAAUUGUUUGUGACGUUCACUGACAAGUGAUUUUGUAUUAGGCUUUUUAUUAGAGCUAAAACGAGAUGUUUUGAAGAACCAAAAAUAGUUAUUUGAAACUACACUGCGUGUACCUAAUGUUAAGGUUGAAUUGGAGUUGUUUUUACAUGCUUUUGCACUUUUAUGGCGUGUUGUGUGGAAUUAUUGACACCUACUAGUUUUUGCAAUAGAGAGUAAUUAGCUGUUUUUUUUUUGCAGUGUGGUCUAUAUUUUCAACAGAAAUUUAAGUUCAAAGCAAUGUUUUCUAAGGUCGCAGAUAAGGAAAUGUAUUUAUUUUGUGUAAUGAAAGAAUCUUGCACCAAAUAUAACUUUUUGUAGCUCAGCAAUGCCACCUAAUGCUUUGGCCAAUCAACUGUAUCAUUUAAAAAGGAAAGAAACCAUACUGGUGUUUUAUUGGAAUAAAGGUUUUAACAAAA